GGGCAGAUGAAGUGCACAUGGCAGUCGAUGCCGCCGGCGGUGAGGAUCCUGCCGUUGCCGGCCAGCACCUCGGUGCCCGGACCGAUGACCAGGUCGGGGUGGACGCCGUCCAUCGUGUCCGGGUUGCCGGCCUUGCCCA
rnacentral:ncRNA from 1 species